rnacentral:tRNA from 1 species
GACUUCGUAGCUCAGUUGGUAGAGCAACUGACUCUUAAUCAGUGGGUCGAGAGUUCGAGCCUCUCCGAGGUCACUA